GUCUCAAAGAUUAAGCCAUGCAUGUCUAAGUAUAAAUCGUUUAUACAGGUGAAACUGCGAAUGGCUCAUUAAAUCAGUUAUAGUUUAUUUGAUAGUACAAUUACUACUUGGAUAACCGUGGCAAUUCUAGAGCUAAUACAUGCUAAAAGUCCCGACUUCUGGAAGGGACGUAUUUAUUAGAUAAAAACCAAUAA
rnacentral:rRNA from 1 species